rnacentral:ncRNA from 1 species
GUUAACAUCGCCGGCGUUGGUGCUCGCGGCAUGAUUCCUUUGCCGCGGUUCAACGGGAAGCUGGGGGAAGAAAGUCCUGCAGGACCGAUUCUUCUAACCAGCGCUGCCCCCGCAACGGUAAGUGGACGGGUCGGGCCUUUCGGUUCCACCCUGCUUUCGUCUCUUGAGCCACUGGUGAUGUGUUCGCGCAUCAUUGGGAAGGCGACGAAGGUUGUCUCCACCAGCCCGGAUACCGGCCAACGAGGUGGACCAGUG